UUUCCGUAGGUGAACCUGCGGAAGGAUCAUUAUUGUAUAACCGAGGUGCGAGGGCUGUCGCUGACCCGAAAGGUCGUGCACGCCCGUGUGCCCUCACACACAUCCAUCUCACCCCUAUGUGCACCACCGCGUGGGUCCCCCUUUGGCUUGUUCGGAGGGGGGCUUACGUUUUCACACAAACUUUGUAUGCAGUGUAGAAUGUAUUUUUUGUUUUUGCGAUCACGCAGUCAAUACAACUUUCAACAACGGAUCUCUUGGCUCUC
rnacentral:misc_RNA from 1 species